GACCUCAGAUCAGGCAAGGCUACCCGCUGUAUUUAAGCAUAUUAAUAAGCGGAGGAAAAGAAACUAA
rnacentral:rRNA from 1 species